GCUCAGAAGCUUUAUCUUGAAAACAAAUCAUUUUUUCCUAUCUUCAUCUUUUUUUCUUCUCUUGCUCAUUCACAUUCCAUUCGCUUCGUAAUCACAGUGUGAGGUUGUGAUUGUCAUGAAGCCCUCUUUGAAUCCUACCGAACAAAAUUCUCUUUUAGGUUGAGGUAGAGUUCUUGCGGGCUCGAUGGCAUUUCGGGGUUCAUAGAGUUUUUGAGCGGUCCUUUGAAGCUCAGGUACAACAACUCAGGUGUAGCAGUAUUCUUUAAUACCACAAGUGAAAAAAUCACCAAGAAUCAUACAUCAAUGCCUAGAUCCAGAUAAUUGAGUCUAGAGAGCCUGUAAUUGUAUGUUUGGUAUUUUAUGAAUGUUUGAAAUAUGUUAUUUUUGUGAUGUAAUUAGUUUAACUGUUAUAUGACUACUUUCUUUACAAAUUAGCUUACCUUUUUUGUGUGCUUGUGCAAUCGUGUUUUCUCCUUUUUGCAAUGAUUACCUUUUUGGCUGUGAGUAGAUGAUGCUACAGGUUUAAAAUUUCCUCUAGUAGAUGAUGAUCCAGCUAAGGAAGAUCUUAGAACUGAUUAGGUCCUCUAUGGUGAGACAUUUGGUCUUAGAACCAACGUAUAAUGUUUUGAGGUGUAUAAAGUUAUAUUAUUAUGGUCUUAUAUUUUGGAGGACUACACUAAUAUCCUUUAUACCAUGGAUUAUCUGUUUUGAAAUUCUA